rnacentral:lncRNA from 1 species
GAUUGCUGGUGAGACAGCAGCCACUGCUCCCAGGCCCGAGAACAGGGGCAGCACCAAAGCUGGUCAGUGUUUCCUCCUUACAGGUGUACCUGAAAUAUGCCAUACGUGUGCCCAGGAGCCACAGCCACAAGCAGGGACAUCUCAACCUCAGGACCUCUGCAUGGCAUCAUCAAGGAGCCAGAGACCCAGAAAGCCUGGAUGCCAAAGGUCACAUGGAGGUAAACAGGAAGCAUAGAACCCCAGGUGCUGUCAGGAGCUACCUGACAACCACAUGGGAAAUCAUUCCGAAGGUGAAGCUGCCACAGGGAGCGAGAGACACAGCCCUGGUGACUUUAUCAACUUCUGGAACAAACUAGCCUGAAGCCCUUCCUAUCUCUUGACUUUCCAGGUACGUGGACAGGUAAAUCCCCUUUAUUGUUUAAACCAGUUUGUAUAUCUGCUACUUGCACCCUAACUGUUGAUGUGAUUUCCCAAGGUCACAUAGAACCAGAGCUCAGCAGCUUCAGCUUCUCAAUAAAUAAGAGAGUGCAUGAAAAGCAGCAAUAUACAGGUG